rnacentral:tRNA from 1 species
AUAGCCAAAAAGACUUUAAGGCUUACCCUUGGUAAGGGAGAGGCCGAGAGUUCAAAUCUCUCUAGCAGCACCA